rnacentral:lncRNA from 1 species
UAUUUUUUUAUUUUUAAAAAUAUAUAUUUUGACUAUUAAAAUUUUAGAAAUAUUUUCGGAGGGAUACAAUGUUAAUAGAGAGGGCAAAAUAACCAAAUUAUUGUUACUUUUUUUUAAAAAAAAUAAUUUUUUAAUAUAUUUUUAUUUUUUUUGAAAGGCAUUUCCGAUAUAAAUUAUUAUCAGAAAUGAACGGAAUAAUAAUGAAACCCUGACGGAGGGAAACUAAAUGCAACAACUUGAAAUAUUGAACGGGUAAAAUAUAGAUUUUUGAAAAUUAGAAAGAAAAAAAUAAAAAAAAAGAUAUAUAUUGAGAAUAUUUUUGUAAUUUAGUCAAAAAAAAUGAGCUGUAUAUUAUUUAUU